UUUGCCUCAGUGCAGGGGAGGUAUGUUGAACAUGUGAUUCAACAAAGCCUGCCAAUUGAUGUACUUCAGAGAAACCUUCAAAGCUCUGUUAAGCUGGAAGAUGACCCAGAAGAGCAAUGGUGUAAGAGGGACACCUCUUCUGGCAGUUCAAAGCGCAAGUCAAAAUAUUUCAAUCCUCCAAAAAACAUUCCAAACCCCAAGACCAAGACCAAAAGCAAGAAGAUCAUAAAAGUGGAGCAGAAUCAACGGGUUGAAGAUGCACAAGUAAGUAAUGUGACGUUUUUUUAAAUGACAGGUGUGAGAUAAAGGACAUGAAAUGAAAAUGUUUUUUUUCCUCCUCAUUGCCCUAGGUAGAGACAAUGAGGAUGCAAUAUAAUUAUUAAUAGAACCUCACAUUUCACAUCGUACACUUAAACCAUAGAUCAUAGACCUUAAUUGCUACAUGGAUUUCAAUGUUAAUUCUGACUUUCAGUUAAACUUGCUGUGGAAAAAGAGGGGAACAGAGAUAAUUGUUGCAACCCUGCCAUCCCAAGUGAAGGGUCGGAGCCUCUUCAUCCACCACACUGAUCUACGGUGUCUACGACCCCACCUGUGGUUGACAGGAGAGAUAAUUCAGGGAUUGCUGCAUCUCAGUGCCUUCACGUACAACGUGGUGGACACCAUUUACCUAAUGGAUUAUUACACCGCAGGUGUACUUUUAUUUGGUGACAGAGCUACUACACGUCGCCACACUUUACCUAAGGUAAACUUCGAUAACUUUGACGGAAUCCUGUCAUUUGUCCACGUGAACAAAAAUCACUGGAACAUGCUGUACAUUCAUGCAAAGUCUGGUACUGUGUACCAAAUGGAUCCCUCACCAGCAUCCUCUGAGCUUGAGGACUCUACCCAUGCGGCUCAGAGACUACAGGAAUACUUGAAGAUUAGAAAACAUCAGGGGAAAACUGACUGGGUGGAUGUGAAGUGGAAAGGAGGAGUGAUGCCCCACCCAGUGCAAAUGGAUGGUUGCAGCUGUGGUGUCAUUGUUGUUGAAAUAUACAAGAUGAUUUCAAAGGAUAAGUUCACUAUUGUGUACUUUGAGCCCCCUUUCUCGGUUGGCUAGGAUGAAAUAGAAUGGUUGACACUGAAAUGUUGACGUUUGGUCCUGUCUCUGGAUGGCCAGAGCAGUGAUGGAAGCCUUCCCUGAGUUCCCCAAAAUGAACUUCUCAACAAAAAGGAGAGCCAUGGAAGAGGCGAGGAGAGAUAUGGCUCUCCAAGUCCUUGAAUCAUCAGUCUUUGAUGAGGAGACUUGUUCGAUGUGUGGAGCUGACAAGCCCCCUGGACAAGCACCUCCCGUUACAGACUGGAUCCAGUGUGAUAAUUGUGACCGGUGGUUCCAUAACCUUUGCGUGAACAUGGACCAAAAUAAGUUAAAGGAACUCAAGAAAAGGCAAUGGCUGUGUGUUUUAUGCCGAUGACAAGGUUGAGGAAAAUUGUGCCUCGUCCAAGUGCCAGGUUUUGUUU